GGUGCUUUGCUUCCCUUUCACCUUCUGCCAUGAUUGUAUGUUUCCUGAGGCCUCCCAGCCAUGAUGAACUAUGGGACUGUCUAGUUGCAGGAAAACAAGCUCAGAGCUCUCACUGAUUCUACAUUAUGUGUCUUAAGACUUGUUUUGUGCCCUGACAUGUG